rfam:Schistosoma haematobium scaffold423_27, whole genome shotgun sequence.
AUACAGUUGACGAGUUCAAAACAGGACGAAACGCGCGUCUUUGUUU